AACGAACGCUGGCGGCGUGCCUAACACAUGCAAGUCGUACGAGAAAUCCUGGGCAACUGGGAGAGUAAAGUGGCGCACGGGUGAGUAACGCGUGGGUAACCUACCCUUGGAUUUGGGAUAACUUCGCGAAAGCGGGGUUAAUACCGAAUGAUAUUCCGAUUUCUAAGGGGGUCGGAAUCAAAGGUGGCCUCUGCAUGCAAGCUACCGUCUAUGGAUGGGCCCGCGUACCAUUAGCUAGUUGGCAGGGUAAUGGCCUACCAAGGCAACGAUGGUUAGCUGGUCUUAGAGGAUGGCCAGCCACACUGGAACUGAGACACGGUCCAGACUCCUACGGGUGGCAG
rnacentral:rRNA from 1 species